AUUGAACGCUGGCGGCAUGCCUUACACAUGCAAGUCGAACGGCAGCACGGGGGCAACCCUGGUGGCGAGUGGCGAACGGGUGAGUAAUGCAUCGGAACGUGCCCAGUAGUGGGGGACAACCAGUCGAAAGAUUGGCUAAUACCGCAUACGACCUAUGGGUGAAAGCGGGGGACCGUAAGGCCUCGCGCUAUUGGAGCGGCCGAUGUCUGAUUAGCUAGUUGGUGAGGUAAAGGCUCACCAAGGCGACGAUCAGUAGCUGGUCUGAGAGGACGACCAGCCACACUGGGACUGAGACACGGCCCAGACUCCUACGGGAGGCAGCAGUGGGGAAUUUUGGACAAUGGGCGCAAGCCUGAUCCAGCCAUGCCGCGUGCGGGAAGAAGGCCUUCGGGUUGUAAACCGCUUUUGGCAGGAACGAAACGGCGCGGGCUAAUACCCAGCGUUAAUGACGGUACCUGCAGAAUAAGCACCGGCUAACUACGUGCCAGCCGCCGCGGUAAAAC
rnacentral:rRNA from 1 species